GACAGGAUGAUGAGUCACUCGCUGAGUGACAAUAAGCCGAGUGUUAGCGGUUUUUAUGUAAUCGUGAUGAUCAUUCCCUCAAAAGCGAUAAUUGUGAACUGACUGUC
rnacentral:snoRNA from 15 species